CCUACGGGAGGCAGCAGUAGGGAAUCUUCCACAAUGGACGAAAGUCUGAUGGAGCAACGCCGCGUGAGUGAAGAAGGGUCUCGGCUCGUAAAGCUUUGUUGGUAGUGAAGUAAGAUAGAGGAAGUAACUCGCCUUUAUUUGACGGUAAUUACUUAGAAAGUCACGGCUAACUACGUGCCAGCAGCCGCGGUAAUACGUAGGUGGCAAGCGGUGUCCGGAUUUAUUGGGCGUAAAGCGAGUGCAGGCGGUUCAUUAAGUCUGAUGUGAAAGCCUGCGGCUCAACCGGAGAAUUGCAUCAGAAACUGGUGAACUUGAGUGCAGUAGAGGAGAGUGGAACUCCAGGUGUAGCGGUGAAAUGCGUAGAUAUAUGGAAGAACACCGGUGGCGAAGGCGGCUCUCUGGUCUGCAACUGACGCUGAGGCUCGAAAGCAUGGGUAGCGAACAGGAUUAGAUACCCUGGUAGUC
rnacentral:rRNA from 1 species